GGGCCAAAUUCUCUUGGCCCUGUUUCUGAUGAUUUUCUUCUGUUCCCACUAUCUGGAGGUUUUCAUCCAGUCAUGACCCCAUUGGCAAAGUGCCUGAGUCCUGCUGGUGAGAAGAUGUCAAUAAUUCAGAUCACAAUGUGCUGGCAAUUCAAUCAAAUAGAAAGUUACCUAUGUUUCAGAAACAUUUAAAAUUCCUAGUUAUGUAGGAAGUUAAUUUGAAAGAGCAGCUGAAUGCCUCCUGGAAAAUUUGGAGAGUUUCUCUUUAGUACCCAUUUUGCUGGCUUGCUCUUACCAUAUAUUUUCUGAAUUUCUCUAACCUUGUUCUUGAUGACAAAAGGCAUUUGCAUGAAAACAGGAUCUUUGUUUCUUAAGUGUUCAUCUGUUCCUGCUGUUUAUUUCCAACCUAAAGUCAUAAUCCUCCGUUUGUGGCAUCACAAUUGGUUGCAGUGGAAAUUAUUAUGUCAUCACAAAUGGAGGAUUAUGACUUCAGGUGGGGGGAUAAGCAGCAGGAACAGAUGAACUCUUAAAAGCAAAAAUGCUGUUUCAUGUAAAUGUCCUUGGUAAUAAAGAAGAAAGGGAGGUGAAAGACAGAAAACCAGAAAAUUGGAUUUUUCAAGCCCAAACCCCACCAUUUGGAAUGGAGCACCUGCCCUGUGUGAAGCAGGAUGACCAUGGUGGAAGCUCAUCUAAACCACACUGCUGAGCCAAUCACUCAAAUGCUUUUCACAGGCUGUUUCCAUUUAAAACCACAAGCAGCAAGCUGACAUUUCUCUUCAGCAUCAUAAGAUGGAAAGCUCUGAAAUACCCAGAAGCAAUCUCAGCUUGUACCUUAUUUGGCUUUAUCUGAGCAUUUUCCCCCACCCCCCCAUCCUACAGCUGCUCUAUCCUUUAGUAAAAGGAGGUUAAAAAAUUAUUGAUGCAAACUAAAAGGCUUAUAAGAACAGAAACUAAAAUAACAAAUAGAAAUGAGGAUAGGGAAAGAUUAGUAACAAAGCCUAUUGUCUGUUUUCUGUGGUAGAAGCCAAUUUGACUUGCUUUCAUUAAAAUUCUCCUUGUUAACUCGGGUGGUGUGUUGGUGAUGGACUAUUUGAUGUCUGAGAAGUGGUGAGAAGUUAGCUGUCUAAUGAUGGGCUAAUUAGAAAGCCCAUCCUAGCAGGAUCCAUGGAAAUUGAUUUGCACAGUGCCAUUUUUGCUAAUGACAGUCAUGAAUACGUUUGCAGUCCUUUACUUACUCUUCCUACCCCCAGCUAAUGAAAGAAGCGAUCAUUAAGAGCUCAGCUAUAGUCUAUCUGAAGUUUUCUUUGCCUUGUAGGAAUAGCCAUACUUCAAGAACUUCAGCUGUAAGUAAUAUUCUUCCUAGAGAAACACAUACCUGAUGUUUGCCUCCUCUAAAAUGAGCGUGUUUUUCUAUUUUAUGUGGUUUUGUGUUAUCCUCACUGAAUAGAAAGUGAGUGUCCUUUCUGUGCUAUUUACAGAAAAUGACCAUCACUGCAUGGGACUAUAAGAAGCCAUAAAUAUGUGGUCUGAAUAAAAUUAAAAUUAAUUAGACAGUUUUUCCUACAAGGGCAUGACAUGUCCAUCCACAACUAGGUCAAGCAUUUUUAAUAUUUAUCAGUCUAAGGAAAACAAAAACUAUUACUCUUAGUAUCCCUUCUUAUGAUUUUAUUUACCCAAUUGCUUUCAGAUCCCCUUAAUCUGCCCAGAUGGUAUUUGCCCCAGCCAGGUCCAUAUGGCCCAGUAUUCACAAACUACAAGUUUUUGCACAAAGACCUCCUGAAUAAAAUAUGACAGUCAAUGCAGUGUGGCUACCCCCAAGUACAUCCUUCAUUGUCCAUAGGGCUCUAGCUUGCUACCACAUUCCAAGCUUCUCAAGGCCUUCUCUGGUCAAUAAUGAUCUGGCAUUGCACUGCUCUUCUGUUUACUUCCUGUACUUUAACUUCUGUUUACUUCUGAUUUAGUUUCUGUAAAUUCUGCCGUAAUUAAAGAAAAAUACAGACCUUUUCAACUAUCCCUAAAUGUACCUCUUUCAGGCGUGUUCUGACAGAUGAAACCAGGAGCUGGGGGUAUUGCAUUAAGUUCCAGGAGUUAGCUGUACCAAAGUUUUCAUAUGUUUUCAGUGAAAUGGAUGUCCUAUAAAACCUGUCAGGCAUAGGUGGAAUCUAAGAAAUAAAAGUGAAAAGUGUAAGUGGGCAAGCAACUGGGAGUUGAAGGUAAGAGGGCAAGCAAAGAGAAUGGUGAAAUGUCAUUGCUGGCAGCAGUGAAGGAGUCUGAGGCUGGGCAGUGAAGACUGGAAACAAGGGGAAUGGAUAGCCUGAAGCUGCUGAUAUCUGGAUGGAUUAGAAGAAGGGACAGCAGAGGAAUCAGAGUGAGUUAUCAGAGACAGAAUAAGAAUGGAAAAGGAAGGAGGAAGGUUUGAAUGACUGUAUCUGAGUAUCUUAGGUUUCUUCAUAGUUAAAAGAGACAAAAAGAAAACAGGAAUUCUUGGGGAGCCAUAGACAGCAAGAAAGUGGGGAAAACUUGGAAAUCUUCAUGAGAGAUUCUAUUAAGAGGACAGCUAAUUUCCUUUGGAACAGGGAGAUUAGACAGUAUCACAAAACAACAUCAUGUUGGUUUUAAUGUCUGAUUCAAAUAUGAACAAGAAAAGUCCAUGUAAUUGUAAGGAAAACUAGUUACCUUGACAUAAUAACAAGGGGAAAAAAAGAGAUUGUCCGCCUUGCCACAAAGCAAUGUAGGUGAAGUCAGCACUUUAAUUUAUUUCUGAGACUGAGCCUGCCCACUUUAUCUUGCCUGCACUCUCUACACUACUUCACUUUGAAGACGUUCCUAUACAUUAGUUCCCUGAAGCAAAAACCUUAUCUGAUUUUAACAGUGAAAAUAACUGUAAGUAUAUUCCUCUAAUGGCUUGGGGUUUCCCCUGAAAAAAUAUAUUUUCGAAUUAAAAAUUUAUUUAUAGCUCCUCCAUUCAGAUUUUGUUUUGUAGCACCGGUAAAAUAUAUAUGCAUGCACAUAUUAUACCUAUAUAUGUAUAUAUAUGAGAUGCAUCUAGAUCUGAUAGGUACAAGAUUUUGAAUUUCUUUGCUCUUUCAGUAUUGCCUCCUAGCACUAGCUACUCAUUAGUUUUGUGGCCUUUCGUAAUAUUUAUUCCUUUUUGUUCCUGUAGUGCAUCCUACGAAAGACAUUAAGAAGAAAUAGCAAACCUUUAUGUACCUCCUGCACUAUUAUUGAAGGGGGAUUUCAGUAUGAUGCAUAUCAUUCAACAUCUAAAUAUGCUAACGCGUGUAAAGAAACAACUAACACUUUCUUUAAAUUAACCUUUUUUGGCAUUUUUUGUAUGCUAAACUUACUUAAAAAUAAAAAUUAACCUGGAAAAGCAGUUGAAUGGAGCAUUACUCAGAUAAAGAUAUUCCAGAAAAUCAGAGACGACUAUGCAUGGAGCAGAUGAGAAGAUAUAUAUGUAGACUAUAUUAGGACUUUGAGAAGUAAUAUUUAGAAAAAUAAAUUAUGAAAGAUAUGGGUAUACCAUAAUGUGAUCUGCUAGCAUUGCAUAACAUACAGUAUUGAUGACUGAUCUUUUUAAAGAAAUAUUGCUAUAUACAGGCUCAAACUUUGGUUUAAUUUAAAGUUCAGGUCAUGUAGCUGUUUACUUAAAAAUAAAUAGUCUAGAUUAAUGACUUGUUGGCAUGCUUAGAACAAAAUAAAUGUCAAUGUGGACAA